GGGUUGUGAGGUUAAGCGACUAAGCGUACACGGUGGAUGCCCUGGCAGUCAGAGGCGAUGAAGGACGUGCUAAUCUGCGAUAAGCGUCGGUAAGGUGAUAUGAACCGUUAUAACCGGCGAUUUCCGAAUGGGGAAACCCAGUGUGAUUCGUCACACUAUCGUUAACUGAAUACAUAGGUUAACGAAGCGAACCGGGGGAACUGAAACAUCUAAGUACCCCGAGGAAAAGAAAUCAACCGAGAUUCCCCCAGUAGCGGCGAGCGAACGGGGAGGAGCCCAGAGCCUGAAUCAGCAUGUGUGUUAGUGGAAGCGUCUGGAAAGGCGCGCGAUACAGGGUGACAGCCCCGUACACAAAAGCGCAUGUGCUGUGAGCUCGAUGAGUAGGGCGGGACACAUGGUAUCCUGUCUGAAUAUGGGGGGACCAUCCUCCAAGGCUAAAUACUCCUGACUGACCGAUAGUGAACCAGUACCGUGAGGGAAAGGCGAAAAGAACCCCGGCGAGGGGAGUGAAAAAGAACCUGAAACCGUGUACGUACAAGCAGUGGGAGCCCCACCACCAAAGCAUUCUCUGGUGUUGAAGGCCCUGCAAAGCAGCAUCGCGGUGGCGGAGCGUCGUUUGCGACGCCCAACACACAAAACAAGCGGUGAGUGCUUUGGGGUGGGGUGACUGCGUACCUUUUGUAUAAUGGGUCAGCGACUUAUAUUCUGUAGCAAGGUUAACCGUAUAGGGGAGCCGAAGGGAAACCGAGUCUUAACUGGGCGUUAAGUUGCAGGGUAUAGACCCGAAACCCGGUGAUCUAGCCAUGGGCAGGUUGAAGGUUGGGUAACACUAACUGGAGGACCGAACCGACUAAUGUUGAAAAAUUAGCGGAUGACUUGUGGCUGGGGGUGAAAGGCCAAUCAAACCGGGAGAUAGCUGGUUCUCCCCGAAAGCUAUUUAGGUAGCGCCUCGUGAACUCAUCUUCGGGGGUAGAGCACUGUUUCGGCUAGGGGGUCAUCCCGACUUACCAACCCGAUGCAAACUGCGAAUACCGAAGAAUGUUAUCACGGGAGACACACGGCGGGUGCUAACGUCCGUCGUGAAGAGGGAAACAACCCAGACCGCCAGCUAAGGUCCCAAAGUCACAGUUAAGUGGGAAACGAUGUGGGAAGGCUCAGACAGCCAGGAUGUUGGCUUAGAAGCAGCCAUCAUUUAAAGAAAGCGUAAUAGCUCACUGGUCGAGUCGGCCUGCGCGGAAGAUGUAACGGGGCUAAACUGUGCACCGAAGCUGCGGCAGCGACGCUUAUGCGUUGUUGGGUAGGGGAGCGUUCUGUAAGCCUGCGAAGGUGUCCUGUGAGGGAUGCUGGAGGUAUCAGAAGUGCGAAUGCUGACAUAAGUAACGAUAA
rnacentral:rRNA from 1 species